rnacentral:rRNA from 1 species
CUGGAUUAGAUACCCCACUAUGCUUAGCCCUAAACUUUGAUUAAUUACAAUUCACUCCGCCCGGGGACUACGAGCUUUAGCUUAAAACCCAAAGGACUUGGCGGUGCCCUAUUCCACCUAGAGGAGCCUGUUCUAUAAUCGAUAAUCCACGAUAUACCUCACCAUUUCUUGCCAAAACUGCCUAUAUACCGCCGUCGUCAAUUUACCCUUUGAAGGACCCAUAGAAAGUUAAAAGGUACUCGCCAAAACGUCAGGUCAAGGUGUAGCGAAUGAAAUGGGAAGAAACGGGCUACAUUUUCUAAAAUAGACUAAACGGAAAAUCAAUAUGAAAUCUGAUCAAGAAGGAGGAUUUAGUAGUAAAAAGAAAUCAGCAAGUUCUUUUUAACAUGGCCCUAGGGCGCGCACACACCGCCCGU